rnacentral:lncRNA from 1 species
UUUGGACACAAUUUUCUCCGUAGUAUUUUGAGACAUCAUCAUCUUUUCAAAUAAAAGCAAAAGAUUUUCUUUCUCCCCCUGCAGCCUGGAAACCGUCCUUGCUACAAGUGACACAACGCAAUAACCCGGCAUAAUGAAAAGAGAGGCCACAUAACAGUUCCAUUUGGCGACCUAUCACUACUGGGGAGUUUUCAAGUUUUCUUCUUUUGGCUUUCUGUGCUCUCUCAGUCUUUCCUGACUCUUACUCAAUUCUCACCCUGAAUUACGCCAGGUUGGUUCUUAAGGCUGCCCCUGCCAAUGAGGAGACUGAGGAGCUGGCAGGAGUUUUAGUCUCCAGACCAGGCCUUGAGGGUCAAGACCACCACCAGCCUUCUAUUCUACGCACCUCCCUGCGGCUUCGAUUUGGCUAAGUCAACUCCAAAGUGCUGGCUGCAGUUCUCACUGUUUCCUUUUCAGAACCAAGCCUUCUGGGCCACAGUUAUGAUGUCCUGAGCCCACCUGCAAGGCAAAUCUAGAGUACUGUGGCUCGGCUUCGGGGGCCCCUCCAUACCGAAGCACUCUCCCUGGGCUGCUUGUCUGGAUGAAGGUGCUCUCAGGGCCAGCAUGUCCCCUUACUAUUGCCCGAGCCAGGGGAUGACUGCCUUUAUGGCCGUCUCAGCUGUUUGCCUGACCACUCCUCUCUCAUUCGGCCAUUGUUCCAGAACACAACUGGCACAGCUGCUCUAAUUCUCAAUCCUUCGCAUUUCUUCCAUGAUGGAUCAUCAACUGCCGAGGACAGGCAGAGUCUCCCCGUCUCUGCUCCCACAGUGCUUGCCUCUACUCCUCUAGCACACAGCAGAAGAUUCUGAACUAACAUCGAGGACCCUAAGAUCGGACUGUGCCCUAUCGGUCAAGGCCUACGUGGCCCUGAGCGAGCUGCUUAGGAUCUGUUGCUUUCAGCUUGUCUAGAAGACAAACAUUUCACAGUAAGGCUAUUUGUGAAAUCUAAAUGAUGUACUAAAUCCAGACUGCAAUGUAUUUCAUAUUUAUAUCAGUGUCUACAUAGGAGUUUUAUGUGGCCUAUCUAGAUGGAAUUUGACCAAAUCUGAAAAUCUGGCUGAAAUCUGUUGGCUGUAAGGGAUGCCUGAGCAGAGUCUAUUCUUGGGUGUGUCCUGAGUCCCAGGAAGCAGCUGUGGAAGAAGACAGUGACCCUCAACACCAGCCUGGUUUGGACUGAGUCUGCAGACAGAACAUUUCAAAGUCGGUUAUUUUAUUGUAUUUUCACAGAGAGAUAAUGCAGUUUAAAAUACGGACUUGGCAAAGCCUCUGAGUGUUAGAGACUUCAUUACCAACCUUCAGCCGCUCCCUGCUUUCAUAAGAAGGAAUUUUUAGAAAUGGGUGAGAGUUGUUACCAAUCCACUGGUAGAAACAGCAGGUAUCCCCUAAGCUCAUGGACCCAACAAAACUUCUGCUGGCUUCCAACAUUCAGUACAGGAAACAUCUGUUAAGCAGGAUAAAGAUCUAAAAAAUAUUUGUAGGUAGCCUAGUUGAGCUGAACACUGGUAAUUCAUUGGACAUUGACCCUGAAUCUUUAAAGCCCCCUUCCGGUCAAAGUUUGAAACUUUGGACUGUCCUCAACUGGGGGCUCUGGGCUGCAGGCUAUACACAAUGGAGUCCAUAAUCUCUGGGGCUCUGCAAUCAGCAACCUAAGCAUUCCGACACACUAGCCCUGGGGAUCCUCCCUUCUGCUGGCAAGGGAACUCAAGGUAUUUUAUGAGAUGCCAGGGCAUUGAUUCAAUGAGCAAGGACCACGUUUAUUUUAACCAGUGGGGAGAAAACAAAAUCAAAAUAGAAAUUUCAGCUAAUUUAUGGAUAAUAAAACGCAUCUGUCUAAUUGAUUAAAGAAUGUUCAU